AAAUAUAUAAUUAACGUAUAUUUAUUUUAUUUGAUUACAUUCUAAACAUUUUAACGAUUUAUGAAAUCAAAAAUAAUUUUAGAAUUUUAUGUUGAAAAGAAUUUGAAUUACGAAAAUACGUUUUUACUUAGAAAACAAUCAUAAUCGGUUUCGAAUUCAAACAUAAACUCAAUUAUAAUCCUAGCCCAAAUAACAAAGCCCAAAAUAAAUAACCCCAAAUAAACCCAUAACCCUUUCUCCUAUUCAACUUCACGUGAAACAAAAAUAAAAAGAGAAACAAAAGAAAACUCUCAAACCCUUGCUUCACCAUUCACGUGAAAACGCACAAGACUCUCUGCUUCAGCCACCGCCGCUCCUCCUUGCUGCUAUCCCUCACGCCGCCGUUCCUCUCUCCCGCCUUCACUUUCGUUGCUGCAGCCUCCCUCGCCGUCGGACCACCAUCACGCCACUGUUUCGUUCGCAGCAACCACCACCGCGCCACCAGCCGCGCCCAUAACGAUUGUUCGCCGCCGCACCACCAACAACCAUCGCGCGGACGCUGACACCCUCCGCCGUACUCCUCCGACCAGCGUCGCCGCCCACUGUUGCCGCGCCGCCCUGCCUGCCGGCCAGCAGCUUCCCUCUCCUCUCUUUUUUUGGUGGAGAAUUCUCCGUAGGCGACUUUUGAAUUAUUAAAGUGGUCUUGCAGUUUGUUUACACAAGGAAUAAAAUGUUUCUUUCCAAGUAUACCAAUAUAGGAUCCUUCGAGAAACUUGAUAUAGAAACCCCAGAUAUUUAUGUGAAGAAAAUUGUGUUUGGAUGUGAAUAUUAUGCUAAGGUUCAAGGGCAACCUAUCUUAAUGAGAAAGGAUAUCAUAGCAGCCACUAUCAUUAAUUGCUUACCUAACAAAUUUCCAUACCUAGAACUCAAGGAAAAGUUUAAAGACAUGCAUUCUGAUGAUGGAACACCAAAGUUGAUUAAGUAUGAGACUAGGGAUGGUAGGUAGAGAUAUGACGUAGAGAUCCUGACCACCAUUAUUGAGGUCG